rnacentral:rRNA from 1 species
GACGAACGCUGGCGGCGUGCUUAACACAUGCAAGUCGAACGGAAAGGCCCUGCUUGCCGGGUACUCGAGUUGCGAACGGGUGAGUAACACGUGGGUGAUCUGCCCUGCACUUCGGGAUAAGCUUGGUAAACUGGGUCUAAUACCGGAUAGGAGCCAUCUUUAGUGUGGUGGUUGGAAAGUUUUUUCGGUGUAGGAUGAGCUCGCUGCCUAUCAGCUUGUUGGUGGGGUAAUGGCCUACCAAGGCGGCGACGGGUAGCCGGCCUGAGAGGGUGUACGGCCACAUUGGGACUGAGAUACGGGCCAGACUCGUACGGGAGGCAGCAGUGGGGAAUAUUGCACAAUGGGCGCAAGCCUGAGGCAGGGACGCCGCGUGGGGGAUGAAGGCCUUCGGGUUGUAAACACAUAUCGCUAGGGACGAAGCUUUUUUGUGACGGUACCUAGAUAAGAAGCACCGGCUAACUACGUG